UUUUAUGGAGAGUUUGAUCCUGGCUCAGGAUGAACGCUGGCGGCGUGCCUAAUACAUGCAAGUCGAGCGAACGGACGAGAAGCUUGCUUCUCUGAUGUUAGCGGCGGACGGGUGAGUAACACGUGGAUAACCUACCUAUAAGACUGGGAUAACUUCGGGAAACCGGAGCUAAUACCGGAUAAUAUUUUGAACCGCAUGGUUCAAAAGUAAAAGACGGUCUUGCUGUCACUUAUAGAUGGAUCCGCGCUGCAUUAGCUAGUUGGUAAGGUAACGGCUUACCAAGGCAACGAUGCAUAGCCGACCUGAGAGGGUGAUCGGCCACACUGGAACUGAGACACGGUCCAGACUCCUACGGGAGGCAGCAGUAGGGAAUCUUCCGCAAUGGGCGAAAGCCUGACGGAGCAACGCCGCGUGAGUGAUGAAGGUCUUCGGAUCGUAAAACUCUGUUAUUAGGGAAGAACAUAUGUG
rnacentral:rRNA from 1 species